AGUGAACGCUGGCGGUAGGCCUAACACAUGCAAGUCGAACGGCAGCACAGUAAGAGCUUGCUCUUACGGGUGGCGAGUGGCGGACGGGUGAGGAAUACAUCGGAAUCUACUUUUUCGUGGGGGAUAACGUAGGGAAACUUACGCUAAUACCGCAUACGACCUACGGGUGAAAGCAGGGGAUCUUCGGACCUUGCGCGAUUGAAUGAGCCGAUGUCGGAUUAGCUAGUUGGCGGGGUAAAGGCCCACCAAGGCGACGAUCCGUAGCUGGUCUGAGAGGAUGAUCAGCCACACUGGAACUGAGACACGGUCCAGACUCAUACGGGAGGCAGCAGUGGGGAAUAUUGGACAAAGGGCGCAAGCCUGAUCCAGCCAUACCGCGUGGGUGAAGAAGGCCUUCGGGUUGUAAAGCCCUUUUGUUGGGAAAGAAAAGCAGCAGGUUAAUACCCUGCUGUUCUGACGGUACCCAAAGAAUAAGCACCGGCUAACUUCGUG
rnacentral:rRNA from 1 species